GUCCCUGUAGCGCAAUAGAUAGCGCGUUGGACUUCUAAUCCAAAGGUCGGGGGUUCGAAUCCUACCUGGGAUG
rnacentral:tRNA from 1 species